CCUUGGAGAAGAAUACUGUAUGUAAACCAGGAUUUUGGAUCAACUGUGAAGAUUUUGUAUGGAGCUGAAGUUUUGGGAAAGAAAAUCUUCUACCACAUGAUCUUCAGAGGAACUGAUUACUGGCAAUUUGGAGGAGGACUGCUCUUUAUCUGCUGUGUCUGUCACUUCUGGAGCAGAGUCAUGGACCUUUUGUUGAAUGUUUUGGUUUUACUUAUUAUUACACUAAUAUAGCUAGAAUUCAGAAUUAAAAUACAUAUGUUUGUCUACAUAUAUUAUCAGAGCUACAGUGGUGCCCAAAAUGAUUAGAACACUAGUAU